ensembl:lncRNA
GGGAGGGAGAGAAUGGAGAGCAGCGCAUUGAUCGGGGAAAGCCCCCUUCCAGCAGACACAGGACGGGCUCUUGACCGGACCCUUUCCUUCUCCAGGCACUGAAGGAGGACGUGGAGAUGGAGAUGAAAAAACUCCAGAAGGCACAACGGAGGGUCGAAAAGCGCACUGCCCCCAGGAGGAAGAUGACACGCAGGGAAGAGCACAUGAGUUCCCUGAUGCAGGAGGCAGUGGCAGUGCGAUUGGAUGAGCAGACGGCAGCACAGAAGCACCCACUUGUAACUACCUGGCUGCGGGCGUUUCUGCUGUUCUUGGGCCUGCUGCAGCUUGUCUUCUUCACCCUGUUUGUGCUGCAGAAGGACAUCCUUCGCUGGGUCCUGCCUGGAGAGCUGGCGACUGCCCUUGGCAUCCGUCCACCUAAGCCCACUCUUUUCUGACCCCAGAACACACUGCGGCCCUUCAUCGGGACAACAUUGGGUCUGCACAAACAUGAGGGGUCUGUCACCAUUGUCACCCUGUCACCAAUCAUGUCAAUAAAAUCC